rnacentral:lncRNA from 1 species
UUCAAGGAACAGGAGAAAUGUGAGCCAGACCUGGAACCUAGUUAGCAUUUGGAGAGCAGAAUCACUGGACGUGUGUGAAGUGACUGAAGGAAGAAGAGAGGAAAGGAAUGAUUGUGUUAAGUGGCAAAAACCCAGCCAUGGAGCGAGCAAGCUCCAUUCUGAAAGUGCUGCAUUAAAGCCAGCCCGGAAGGACUGGACCCAGACCUUAGCUCCACCCCAUGUAAGUCCACCCAGGCACAUGCCCAGCUACUGCACCCUUUGGUUUUCUGCCAUAUCUGGUCAUCUGAUUGCAUACCUUGAGAGCUGGACCCCUGGGAUGGUUUGGCUCUGCCUUUUGGACACAAAGGCACUAGGCCAGGCACAGCAUUUAAUGGGCCUAGGAGAUGCCUUCUUCCAGCAAUGCUGGUAGGUAGCCUAAUUUGGAGGAAGAAUGGGAGCCCAGCCAUAUCCCAAAGACUAGAGAUAGGCCCUGGGCCAGUCACCGCUCAGGCCUUGGAUUUUGAAAACCCACCCUGCCCCUCCUUUCUCUUGGAGGGGAACUCCCCCCAAGGCUGGAAACUUAAAGAGUAGAGCUGGGGAUUGUGAGGCUGGAUGAA